rnacentral:rRNA from 1 species
AUCACUAGGACAUAAUCCCUAUAAAGGUUUAUGUGGAGAACUACCGUGGGAUGACGGCGAGCGUGGCGUUGGAGGCUAAAAGGAGUGGGUAUGUGUGUAGUAAGGGGGUAGGUUGGUAGUGCAUGGUUAGGGUGAUAAGGUGUACCUUGGUGGAGAUUGAGCGACGUGGGUGUAGGGAGUGGGAACGUCUAUGUGAGAGUGCGGACGUGUGUGGUGGCGUGGCGACCAGGGGAGCCGUAGGGGGUAUGUGUGUGUGUAGUGGAUGGUGUGUAAGGCUAUGGGUGUGGGGUUUUUGACUUUUACUAGGAAGUCGACCAAGAGGUUGACUUUGGAACAAUGCUGAACAUGAAAUAGAUCGGUAUCUAUAAGUCUCGGCUUCGAGAAGUAGGGAUACU